UACACUAGGGGGCGCCUCAAUCACAGCGUGUUUCGGAAGUCUUCAUCUGCGUACCAGGAUGUCACAAGGCGCUAAGUUUUAACCAUAAGUGUUAAAUGAUAUGACAAAUUAUCUCCGGAAAAGAAGCUCACUCUCCAUAACUUUUAAAUAUAGAUAGAGGUUUGAAAACAACUAACUCGAAUUUUAACUCUAUAUAAAAUUACAGCGGGAGGCUGCCGAGCGGCUUUUGAACACGAUGGUGUUUGUGUAACGUUGAGCUAGCAUGCUAAGCUAAGUGCUAACCCAAGCUCAGUUAAUGUUGGAGCGAUAGAGACUGGCUCCGGUGGACAUGGCAGCGGGAACAGGCGGAUCUUUGGAAGCCCAACUGGACAAGAGGUUCAGAGGUCUGACCAACACGAUGGAUUCUAUUCAGGGACUGUCAGCCUGGUGCAUAGACAACAAGAAGUACCACAGCCUCAUUGUGCGCCAGUGGAUGAAAUGUUUGAGGAAAUCUAAUGCCUCCCACAGACUGAACCUGAUGUAUCUCGCCAACGAUGUCAUUCAGAAUUGCAAAAGGAAGAACGCCAUCAAUUACCGCACAGCGUUUGCUGAGGUGUUGCCAGACGCCUUCCAGCUGGUCAAACUUGAGAGUGACCACAAGAUGAUUAAAUCCGUGGAGAGGAUUCUAUCCAUCUGGGAGGAGAGGGAUGUAUAUUCAGGGACGCUCGUUACUGAUCUCAGGAAUAUCCUGGUUAAAGAAGAGUCACCUCCUGAGACACCAGUGGAGCAAAAAACUCCAGUUGAGUCUAAAGCUGAUCUGCGAUCCAAAGUUGUUGCAGAGUUUGUGCCUCAGGCUUUUAUAGAGCAGCUGACCAAGUACAAGAGAUCUCUGGAUGAGGUUGACCUCAGAGAAAAACAGCUAGCUACCAUGAGGGUUGACAUUUUCAGCUCUGACGCUCUCCGGAAACUCAAAGAUAAAGCAGGAGGAAAGAAGUUCUCCAGAGACUUUGAGGAGGGAAGUGCUCAACUGCAGGAGUUUGUUAAAUUUUUUGAGAAACAAAGCAAAACCGGCCCCACACUUCUUGAGGCUCUUGGGAAUGCAGAUAUCUUCUACGAGAUGCAGUACAAAGAGGUCAAGAUUGUUGCCAAUGCCUACCAAACAUUCGCAAACCGGGUUUCCCACCUCAAACGUAAGCUUGACGCUCUGAAGGCCACUUUACCAGAUCUGGACGAGUCCCCUAUCCCCUCGCCUACUGCAGACGCUCCGUCUCCAACAGGCUCAGAGUCCCCUUUUCACGAACUGGAGUUGGCACACCCUGAUCCAGACCUCGAUGGUUCUGCUAUGGAUGACGACGCAGAGCCACCAGCCCCGAGUCCUCUGUCCUCACUAGGAGCGUCACCGAAACACGAUGAGGCCAUCGGGGAGAACGACAACCGUGAAGUGGAGGACAUGGAGCUCUCUGAGGAGGAAAUGGACAGCGGUGGCAUCAUAGUUGAGGAGCAGAAGGAAUCCUUCUCCCAACCAGUGGUGUCCGCUCCAAUCCCUUUGAAGAGUGGGGCAUCAUUAGCAACAGAGCCGCUCAUCCCACAGGUCGUUCCCCCUGCAGCUCUACCUGCAGCCGUUCCCUUAGAAGUUCCUGCGACAGUUCCUGCAAACUUCUUUACAACUGUUUCUUCAGCUGCUCCUGCAGAUGUUUCCACGAACAUCCUUUCAACUGUUCCUGCAGCAGCUGCUGCAGCUCCUCCUGCAACUCUUCCUGCGGCUGCCUUGAAAAGUGUUGAUUUGGGCAAAAUUGGCUCCAUCCUCAACAGCUUGAGCCCUGUCAUAAAGACUACAGCAGCAGUAGUGGAAGAACGUCCCACAGCUCCACCAUUGAUGCCCAAACCCACUGCUCCUUUGGCCCCACAGGACGCCAGUUCACUGGUGAACCUCCUCUCCAAGGUGGAUGUGAGUCCUGCAGACCUGCUCAGUGCUCUGUCCAAAGUUCAGAGCCAAAGCAGCUUAAAGGGUACCACUCCUCUCCUAUCCCCAAAUACUGUCCCAGACCCUUUCACUCCAGGCAAGAUUACUUCCUCUCCCUUAUCCUCAUCUGCUUCAGCAGCAUCUUCUCAGAGCAUUGCUCUUUCUUUUCCAGCACCUGUGCAUUCUUCAUCAAAAUCUGCUGCACAGCAAAACUCUCAAGCAGCCCCCAAAACCUCAAACAAAGCCUCUGCGCUGGUGCAAGCUCUGCACAGAGAUAUGGAUUUGAGUACAGAUCCAGAACCAUUUAUUUCUUCUUCAAGCUUAGAAUCUAAAAUCCACAGCUUCCUACAGGGGAACCCUGCGUUCAGUGCGUUUGACCAGAGGUUUCCAACAAACGCAUCAGUGAGAGGGGAGCGUUUUAGCCCAGUAACUGGCACAGACAACCAGGAGGGAACGCCAGUCAGAGACGAGGGAGGAGGCACUCCAACUCAAGAUGAGAUCAUGGACAAGGCAGUGGCGGUCCCGUUCGGUUCCAGCAACAAUCAGUCAUCUGUCAAUGAAGCAGCCAAAACUGCUCCAGUAGCGUUUGAGAAUAACAAGCAGAAGAACCCCAACAAUCCCCAACAUCCAGCACCCCUUCUGCAAGGCUUUGCUCAAAAUGGGCAGAUCUUCCAGCCCUUCCCAUUUGGGAAGCCGGAGAUGUUAGAGAGUGGGAUUUCUGCACCAGCUUCACAUUACCAACAUGUGGCCAUGCAUCCAGGAGGACCUGCGUUUGGAGAAGGAGUUCCAGGCAGUGCCAGUAGCUCACAGACAAUCGAGGGCUUUCAGAGGGCAAAUGAACAGAGUUGGUUUGGAGAUGCUCACCCUGAGGGGAGCUCUCAGCAGCCCAGUGGCUACAACAUGUUAGUGCCAGGAGUUAGAGAAAACAAAACAACGGGACUGUUUCCCUACCAAACAGAGCAAACUCGGGAACAUCACGAGUUUGUCUCCCAGCAGGGGCCUUCUGCAGCCUCCAAUUUCUUUAGAUGCUCACUUCCUCCUGUCCCAAAGGUACCGCCCCCUCCUCCUAGUUUUGAUCCCCCGGUGACAUCCCCAGCUGGUGGUCUGAUGAACCCCCCACAGCAGGAGCCUGUACACAACACAGCUGCUGGGGGUGGGGUCAGGGGCAGAGGUGAUAGCCUCAUCAGCAGCAUGGUGGUUCAUGACCAUCAGCAUACAUCGUCGUUGCAUCCAGAUGAUGUGUUCCACGACCCGCAUCACCCACAGCAACAUCAGGAGUUUCAUCCUCAUCCGGACGAUAUGCGUUACCACGACGAUCUGGGACAACCUGAUGCCCAUUUCCUCCAAGAUGAUCCCUACUACCCGCCCGAUGAUCCAUAUUUCAGACCGGGUAGUCCUCCUCACCCUUAUCCUAGGGGCCGAGGGCACUUCUCUCCCCCGCUCUCACCUUCAAGGGACCCUUACUUUGCCCAUGAGCAGCACAAUCCCCCUCCUCCUCGUCAGUAUGCGCCAAGGCGGCCGCCACCUCCUCGUCAUGAAAUGCGUCACCCUGGCCAGCGGCCCCCUCCGCCCCGACCCCCGCACUUAGCCCGCCAUCCACACCCCAGAGGGCCGCCUCGCCCGCCUUUCCCUCGUUUUAACGGCCCUGAUCCGAGGUUUAGAGGCAAAUGGCCAGGACCGAGAGGAGGGGGUCCAAUGUUCCCUCCGAAAAGACCCUUCCUACCCCCGCGGUACUGACAGCUCCGUCUUGAGUUCAGGAGGGGCAGGUUCUAGCUAGUCAAGAGUGUUAAAGUCCACGCUAUGUUAAAGCUGUGCAGAUCCCAGUGGGCAUCAAAGGACAGUUAUACAGACAGGGAAAAUGGAGGUGAAGAAGGAAAAACGGACAAAAAGCGUAAAGAUCCCGGGAGGCUCAGAAAAGGUUGCUGAGUGAAGACGGAAGAUUAAAGAAAAUGAGAGGGAUCCAGAGCCACUUUGAUGUGUGUGAUGUGAUGGAAAAGGAAAAGAAAACCUCCGCUGUGCCCCGUUAGCUGAUGGAAGUGAGGACUUCUUUGAAUCCUGCUCCGCUCCUGGUGAUGAUGGCUCUUCACGGUCUGUAAAUGAAUGCUAAGAACCACAGCAGCAAGUUAUUUACAUCAACUCAACCUGCUGUGUUUGACGGGAGAGAAAUGUCGAGUAUGGCCCGAAGAACACCUUCCCCGCAGUCAAGCAAAGGCGGUGGUAGCAUCAUGCUUUGGGACAGAUUUUGUUCUAAGAGUACAUGGUGACCUCGCAGCUUCCAAGCGCCAACAGACGAGGCUGUUUACUGUUAAAUGUUGUUGGAGAGCCUUCUUCCCUCAACCAGAACACUGUGGAUGGGUCUACUACCAUGGGAAAAACAGCGGUGAGACAAAAAAGGAGUGCCUUAAGAAGGAUCACAUUAGGCUCAUGGAGCAGCCUAGCUACUCUAAGCUCUUUGGUGAGGGAGCAUAAGGUUCGAGUUGCCAAGUGGCAUCUAAGAGACCCAGAGGAUUUAGACAGUUUAAGAACAGAAGAGUGGGCCAAAAUGCCUCCUGAGAUGUGUGCAAACCUGUUGAUCAACUGCAAGAAACCUUCUUAGCAAUGAUGGUUUCUAAACCAAGUUCUAAAUCAUGUCCUGGAUGGAUCAAAGGCUUAUUUCACAGUGACAUUCAAAUCAUUGUUUUACUUUUUGUUUCAGCUGGAUCUAGUAUGUUCAUAUUAAAAUAAAACUACCAUGAAAAUUCAA